rnacentral:rRNA from 1 species
UACGUAGGGAGCAAGCGUUGUCCGGAAUCAUUGGGCGUAAAGCGCGCGUAGGUGGCUUCGUAAGUCCGUUGUGAAAGUCAAAGGCUCAACCUUUGAAAGCCGAUGGAUACUGUGAAGCUAGAGUACGGAAGAGGCGAGUGGAAUUCCUGGUGUAGCGGUGGAAUGCGCAGAUAUCAGGAGGAACACCAAUAGCGAAGGCAGCUCGCUGGGACGUUACUGACACUAAGGCGCGAAAGCGUGGGGAGCGAACAGG